rnacentral:tRNA from 1 species
GCUGAUGUGGCUCAGCGGUAGAGCAACGCACUCGUAAUGCGUAGGUCGAGGGUUCAAUUCCCUCCAUCAGCUCCA